rnacentral:rRNA from 1 species
GACGAAGGACCCAAGCGUUAUCCGGAUUCAUUGGGUUUAAAGGGUCCGUAGGCGGUUUAAUAAGUCAGUGGUGAAAGCCCAUCGCUCAACGGUGGAACGGCCAUUGAUACUGUUAAACUUGAAUUAUUAGGAAGUAACUAGAAUAUGUAGUGUAGCGGUGAAAUGCUUAGAGAUUACAUGGAAUACCAAUUGCGAAGGCAGGUUACUACUAAUGGAUUGACGCUGAUGGACGAAAGCGUGGGUAGCGAACAGG